rnacentral:rRNA from 1 species
GCCUACGGGGCGCAGCAGUGAGGGAUAUUGGUCAAUGGGGGAAACCCUGAACCAGCAACGCCGCGUGAGGGAAGACGGUUUUCGGAUUGUAAACCUCUGUCCUCUGUGAAGAUAAUGACGGUAGCAGAGGAGGAAGCUCCGGCUAACUACGUGCCAGCAGCCGCGGUAAUACGUAGGGAGCAAGCGUUAUCCGGAUUUACUGGGUGUAAAGGGAGCGUAGACGGUUAUGUAAGUCUGGAGUGAAAGCCCGGUGCCCAACCCCGGGACUGCUUUGGAAACUGUGUAACUGGAGUACAGGAGGGGCA